UGGGCAGUAGCUGAUUGGAGCGUUUAGUUGUUAACUAAAAGGUUGCGGGGUAGUAGCCCGCUUGUCCAG
rnacentral:tRNA from 1 species